GAAUGUAGUUCUAAAGCUACGAGAAAUACAGAUUUUUACGGCGAACUACAGCGGUUAUAAUUCGGUUAACUUCAAAAAGAAACAGACUCUGACUUGUAUGUACAAGCCACUUAUCCAUUUUUGCGUAACUAAUAUUUUUUACCUGAUGGCAACGAAUAUAUAGCAAAUAAAAUGUUAUUACAUUUUUAUAAUAUAUAAAAAGUACGGUGGCAUCCAUAAAUUUAUUUCGUAGCAUGUGGCAACCCUAAGAAGGAAAGUCAGCUGUUUCACUAGAAACCGUACAGCAAUUAUUAUCAGCUCUGAGUUUUAAGUUGGGGAAUAUUUAUGUUCUUCACCUACACAGAUCACACUUUCGAUAGAUUUAAUGGAAUACAUGCAGUAUGUGGAACCAACACGCGCAGAAAUGUUGGAGCAGCUAAGAAAGCGCGAAUUGUAUGUGCCGAAUGUCGAAAGCUUAUCAAUUGAUCAGUUGCUGCAAAUCUACAACGGAUUCAUUGUGCCGCAUCCGCGCAGGGAGCGACGCGAGCGACAGCGCACGCUGACCGAAAUGGCACUGAAAUGCGCCAAUGAAAUGCCCAUGGAAAUGGAACAGCUAACGAAACGCAUUAAAGUGGUCUGCAUGGCCGGUGAAAAGCGUGCCAUCCACGUUGAGCCGCGGUCGAUGCUAAACACCUCUCCAAAACGCAUCAAAAUCGACCUGCAUCGAUGAUCUUUGUUAGAAAUCAAGUCAUGGAUUGCCUCUGCAACCUGCAGUUAUGGUCAGUAAUAUUCUGCAGUAUUUUUCUUACUGCUGGAGACAUAAGUUGCACGCUAGGUUGAUGACAGCAUCAAAAUGGUCUAUGUGCAGCAGAUGGAUUGCAUUUGCACUUUCUGGGCCCAGCGGGACACCAGUUAAACCUAGUUGGUCCAAGACGUAGCUUAUUGCUGCCAGUGUACCAUCCAAAAAGAGUGAGAUGGCAUAACCCACUGACACACAAUAAUGAGCGAGACAGAACGAUAAUUGUAUAUGGCCGCUUCCACAGAAAGCUCGAUUUUUUUAGUCCUUGCCACUGGAGUAAAGAGAUCGCCUAAGUGAGCAGCACUUGCUCAACCUCCUAAUGAAGAGGAGCAGAACUUUGAAGAAGCUCUGAUAAGAGCUUAGGAGACAAGCUCUUUACUAAGAUAGAUGCUCCUAUUUCAAGUAAUUGCUGGAUCCCAUGGGACGCUAUCAACUUUAUAAUAUUAAUUUGACCACUAAAUAUGGUACUCACAAAGAGCCUUGUGUUAAACAGAAGAAAAAAAAAUGUCCUUCAGUUUGGCUUUUUUCCAAAAUUAUGUAUGCGACGGAUAAGGACGUUGGACACCAUGGAAAUACCCACAGAUAAAAUUCCUUCCGGUUACAAAUAUAUUCUAAUUCGUAUACGGAAAUUAUAAUUUAUAUUUGGAUAAUAACAAUACCUUUAUUAAAUUAAAACAUUUGCUUGU